CGGGACGGGUGAGUAAUGUCUGGGAAACUGCCUGAUGGAGGGGGAUAACUACUGGAAACGGUAGCUAAUACCGCAUAACGUCGCAAGACCAAGAGGGGACCUUCGGGCCUCUUGCCAUCGGAUGUGCCCAGAUGGGAUUAGCUAGUAGGUGGGGUAACGGCUCACCUAGGCGACGAUCCCUAGCUGGUCUGAGAGGAUGCCAGCCACACUGGAACUGAGACACGGUCCAG
rnacentral:rRNA from 1 species